ACGGAAGGCAGCAGUGGGGAAUAUUGGGCAAUGGGGGAAACCCUGACCCAGCAACGCCGCGUGAAGGAAGAAGGCCUUCGGGUUAUAAACUUCUUUUACCAGGGACGAUAAUGACGGUACCUGGAGAAAAAGCAACGGCUAACUACGUGCCAGCAGCCGCGGUAAUACGUAGGUUGCAAGCGUUGUCCGGAUUUACUGGGUGUAAAGGGCGUGUAGGCGGAGCUGCAAGUCAGAUGUGAAAUCCCGGGGCUCAACCCCGGAACUGCAUUUGAAACUGUAGCCCUUGAGUAUCGGAGAGGCAAGCGGAAUUCCUAGUGUAGCGGUGAAAUGCGUAGAUAUUAGGAGGAACACCAGUGGCGAAGGCGGCUUGCUGGACGACAACUGACGCUGAGGCGCGAAAGCGUGGGGAGCAAACAGGAUUAGAUACCCUGGUA
rnacentral:rRNA from 1 species